GACGAACGCUGGCGGCGUGCUUAACACAUGCAAGUCGAACGGAAAGGCCCUGCUUUUGUGGGGUGUUCGAGUGGCGAACGGGUGAGUAACACGUGAGUAACCUGCCCUUGACUUUGGGAUAACUUCAGGAAACUGGGGCUAAUACCGGAUAGGAGCUCCUGCUGCAUGGUGGGGGUUGGAAAGUUUCGGCGGUUGGGGAUGGACUCGCGGCUUAUCAGCUUGUUGGUGGGGUAGUGGCUUACCAAGGCUUUGACGGGUAGUCGGCCUGAGAGGGUGACCGGCCACAUUGGGACUGAGAUACGGCCCAGACUCCUACGGGAGGCAGCAGUGGGGAAUAUUGCACAAUGGGCGGAAGCCUGAUGCAGCAACGCCGCGUGCGGGAUGACGGCCUUCGGGUUGUAAACCGCUUUCGCCUGUGACGAAGCGUGAGUGACGGUAAUGGGUAAAGAAGCACCGGCUAACUACGUG
rnacentral:rRNA from 1 species